rnacentral:rRNA from 1 species
AACGUAGGAGACAAACGUUAUCCGGAGUUACUGGGCGUAAAGGGCGUGUAGGUGGUCUCGUAAGUCUGGCGUGAAAUAUCUCGGCUUAACCGAGGCAGGUCGUCGGAUACUGCGGAACUAGAGGACGGUAGAGGCGUGUGGAAUUCCGGGUGUAGUGGUGAAAUUCGUAGAUAUUCGCAAGAACACCAGUGGCGAAGGCGGCUCACUGGCCCGAUACUGACGCUGAGGCACGAAAGCGUGGGGAGCAAACAGG